rnacentral:rRNA from 1 species
UACGUAGGGUGCAAGCGUUAAUCGGAAUUACUGGGCGUAAAGCGUGCGCAGGCGGUUAUGCAAGACAGAUGUGAAAUCCCCGGGCUUAACCUGGGAACUGCAUUUGUGACUGCAUAGCUGGAGUACGGUAGAGGGGGAUGGAAUUCCGCGUGUAGCAGUGAAAUGCGUAGAUAUGCGGAGGAACACCGAUGGCGAAGGCAGUCCCCUGGACCUGUACUGACGCUCAUGCACGAAAGCGUGGGGAGCAAACAGGAUUAGAUACCCUGGUAGUCCACGCCCUAAACGAUGUCAACUGGUUGUUGGGAAGGUUUCUUCUCAGUAACGUAGCUAACGCGUGAAGUUGACCGCCUGGGGAGUACGGCCGCAAGGUUGAA